GAAACCAGCCGUAAGAGUGUAAAGGCAGAAGGGAGCUUGACUGCAAGACAGACAAGUCGAGCAGGGACGAAAGUCGGCCUUAGUGAUCCGACGGCACUGAGUGGCAGGGCCGUCGCUCAACGGAUAAAAGUUACUCUAGGGAUAACAGGCUG
rnacentral:rRNA from 1 species